rnacentral:rRNA from 1 species
CGUAGGGUGCGAGCGUUAAUCGGAAUUACUGGGCGUAAAGCGUGCGCAGGCGGUUUUGUAAGACAGAUGUGAAAUCCCCGGGCUCAACCUGGGACCUGCAUUUGUGACUGCAAGGCUAGGGUACGGUAGAGGGGGAUGGAAUUCCGCGUGUAGCAGUGAAAUGCGUAGAUAUGCGGAGGAACACCGAUGGCGAAGGCAAUCCUCUGGACCUGUACUGACGCUCAUGCACGAAAGCGUGGGGAGCAAACAGGAUUAGAUACCCUGGUAGUCCACGCCCUAAACGAUGUCAACUGGUUGUUGGGUCUUUACUGACUCAGUAACGAAGCUAACGCGUGAAGUUGACCGCCGUGGGGAGUACGGCCGCAAGGUUG